UGGUCAAUGUCUUGCCUGUAGUUAAACCAC
rnacentral:piRNA from 1 species